ensembl:lncRNA
CUCUCUUUGGGGUUUCAUAGGAUUUUGAUGUUGCACUCUCUGUUUGCUAUUCCUGCAGUGCGCCUCCAUGCAGUGACAUUGACAUCAUCACGCAGCUAUUGCUAGCUUUGUCAGAGCCAAUUGUGUGCAACUGUGAGGAGCAGGGAGUCAUGACUGGUGGCAUUAGCUCUCGUAACCACAGCAGAGCAGCAAGGCACAGUUACACUUUAAGAGAGAAUAUUUAGGGGAGGAAUACCAGCACUGUACCAGCCUGCAGCAGCUGUACCAUGUUGCUGAAAGACCAGAACACAUAUUCUCCAGGCCUAGAAGCAAGGGAUUAUAGAGGUACUUUCAGAAGGUACCCAUGUGACUGAGAAGUGUAUGCACCAUUUUUAAAAAGCCCCUUGCUGAGAGAUGAUGGGCUGGGUAGGGCCUGCAGAGAAAUCAAAUGGACGUUUUCAAAAACUGUACCCCUUAUUUUAAAAGAAAGGAAAACGUGAGGCAAUCGCAGCUGAUUCAGCAUCCGGCAGUCUCAGCCAAGUCAUAUUUUACCUCUUCCCUUCCCUCCCCGCACAAAACUUCCAGGAAAACCUGCAAAGAAAAGGCAUAUGUGGGUAGGAGGAGACCUGCUUUUAAUUUCUGUACCUCCUAUUCAACACAAUGCCACACAAUGUACAGGAUGCGAAUAUCCCAAGACACCUCAUACAAUACAAGUAACAAAAGCACACACACAUGCACAAGAAAGGGGGAGAAGCAAGCAUGGCAGAGUUACAAAGCAAAGUGCAGGUAAAGCUAUCUCUAAAGUAUCUCUAAUGUAAAGGAGCUCCAUGAAAAAUUCAUCUUUAGAAAAGGGAAAUGGGGGACUGGAGAAAUAUUUCAGUGAACAUGAGAACUAGAUUUCCAUUUCAAAGCAGUAUUUACCUAUUUUUCUCUGCUGUGUUGUAUGUAGUGGCCAGGUCUUCAUUACCAGCAAAGGAGGAGGUCCUAAAGAGGUCUUUGCACUGAGGUGCAACAGAGAUGCUCCUAUGGUUGGUCUACAGAGCAACCUGGUGUCUAUAGAGCACUGAGUCCCAUAGUGGCUGUGAUGAUAGCCUAAAGAAAUGGCUGAGGUUUGAAGUGUAUCACCACAGCUGUAAAGGUUUUCCCCUUCUUUCGGCUGAGGGGAGUGCAGGUAGGGUCUGCUCACUCCCAGGAAAUACCACCUGGCCUGGUUAAAGGAGAUCCUUCUGGAGAUGGGACCACAUCCAUGUCUUGGUGAAGUGCAAAGUGCCUGGAGCAAUGCUCAGCAUUACAGCUCCUGUCAGCACUCAGUGAAUGCAUCAGAGCCUGAUCAAAGAAAUCCAAGGUUCCUCCAAGCCUUUUGCUGAGGCAUGGUUCUGCAUAUCCAUCAGAAUGACCAUGCUGUGGGUGAAGCACUAGCUCAGGCACAAUUCACUCAAAGUUUGUGAGCUUGCAGAGUUUACAAGGAAAACACCAUGUCUGAGCCAGCCACUCUUUAACGUUUGUCUGGAGUUGCUGUGAGAUUUUUACAGCAAGGAUGUAUUGUUUUCAGAUAGGAAUGAAAGCAAAAUACUUCAAACAAUCAAUCAAACAAACAAAUAAACAAAACCAUGGGACAUGAUCUUUACAAUAUAUUUAUUAGAAAGGACAAUUUUUUUAACAUACAAAAAUAGGGCUUCAUAUGUAGAUAGAAAGACUAGAUGACUUUUAGUCACAAGGCCACUGACUGCUGCAUCAAAAUCCAAUGUGAAUAUACAGAGGCAGAGAGGAGAAACUGCAGGAAGCAGAAGAGGGCUAUAGCCAUGAAUCACUUCUCCCUGUGGAAUGGGGUCACUAGAGUAACUUGUUUAACUGAUUACGUAUUUCUUCAGUGUUUGAGAAAAAAAAAUGAAGCUGGUACUUUUUCAUUGUACUUGUGUGUUGAUCGACAGUUGCUAUCAGUGUGGUGUAAUUAGAGUGGGCAAAGAGGAUCAUUUUGUGAAUCUCAGCUGCCUAACUCUAUAUCCAUAUCACAAGCAAUAUCUCAUUCUUCCUUAAUGGAUGUUCAGUUACCGCAUCAAAUAUGUGCUUUGUUUAAUGUUAUUGGAAACGGCAGUAAGAAGAAGAAAGAAAACAGCAAAAAGCAGAGAAAUAUUUGUUAGUAUUGUAUAUUGUGAAGUGUGAUGAUAAAGAAGAUUUUUAUAAUGGCUCUUGGAAGUGUCACUAAUGGAACAAAAUGUCCCCUGCCCACCAGCAGCCACAGAGCUGCAGCUGUGUGCCGCUUAAAACUUCAGCGAAGGACAUAGAUUUAUUAUGCUGUGUAUCACCACUUCCUAUAUUUCUGACAGGACUGCACUCUGGCUUUUGUUUUUGUUUUUCUAAAAAUAAAAAAAAUAUAUAUCAAAACAAACAAAUGAGGCACUGCUGUAGAAAGGAAGGGUAAUCCUAGCUGCAUGUAGAGGUGUCUUUCACGGUUAGAAUGUGUUUCAUAGAACUGUAGAAUCACAGAAUGGCCUGGCUUGAAAAGGACCAUAAUGAUCAUUGAGUUUCAACCCCCCUGCUAUGUGCAGGGUGGCCAACCACCAGACCAGGCUGCCCAGCGCCACAUCCAGCCUGGCCUUGAAUGCCUCCAGGGAUGGGGCAUCCACAGCCUCCUUGGGCAACCUGUUCCAGCAUGUCACCAGAUGUUUAGGAUGUUUGAAGACAUAUCUAAAUAAUUGUUUUGUAUUAACUGAGGAAAUGUCACUUAAAUAAUUGGUGAACUUUUGUGUGUUUGUGCUCUGUAAUCAAUGCCAUGUGUUUUAAUGGGCGUUUGGAUAGAAA